rnacentral:lncRNA from 1 species
UGGAAAUAAACUACAGUGCACAGGCUGAUAGCUCCUGUAUACAUAAUACCCUCAGAUGUCAGAAGCCAAGACAGACAAGGGAAAAGUCAAACCAGCAGAAAGUUUUGAAAAUGACAAGCAAAAUAUUUCUUGGCUGAAGAAAGAACUGGACAAACCCAUCCUCCAGCCCCAUGGAGACUCAGCUGCACCAGCUCCCUGCCUC